rnacentral:rRNA from 1 species
UGGGGAAUAUUGGGCAAUGGGGGAAACCCUGACCCAGCGACGCCGCGUGAGGGAAGACGGUCUUCGGAUUGUAAACCUCUGUCUUUGGGGACGAAAAAGGACGGUACCCAAGGAGGAAGCUCCGGCUAACUACGUGCCAGCAGCCGCGGUAAUACGUAGGGAGCGAGCGUUGUCCGGAAUUACUGGGUGUAAAGGGAGCGUAGGCGGGUAGGCAAGUUGGAUGUGAAAACUGUGGGCUCAACCGACAGACUGCAUUCAAAACUGUUUUUCUUGAGUGAAGUAGAGGCAAGCGGAAUUCCUAGUGUAGCGGUGAAAUGCGUAGAUAUUAGGAGGAACACCAGUGGCGAAGGCGGCUUGCUGGGCUUUUACUGACGCUGAGGCUCGAAAGUGUGGGGAGCAAACAGGAUUAGAUACC